rnacentral:sRNA from 1 species
GCUGGGAGUAGUGGCACACACCUGUAAUCCCAACAGUUUGGGAGGUUGAGGCAGGAGGAUCACCUGUUUAAAGCCAGCCUCAGCAACUUAGCAAGGCCUUAAGCAACUUAGAGAGACCCUGUCUCUA